rnacentral:rRNA from 1 species
UACAGAGGGUGCAAGCGUUAAUCGGAGUUACUGGGCGUAAAGGGCCAGUAGGCGGCCGAUUAAGUCCGACGUGAAAUCCCCAGGCUUAACCUGGGAACUGCGUCGGAUACUGAUGGGCUUGAAUUCGGGAGAGGGAUGCAGAAUUCCAGGUGUAGCGGUGAAAUGCGUAGAUAUCUGGAGGAAUACCGGUGGCGAAGGCGGCAUCCUGGACCGACAUUGACGCUGAACGGCGAAAGCUAGGGGAGCAAACGGG